rnacentral:rRNA from 1 species
UACGUAGGGUGCGAGCGUUGUCCGGAAUUACUGGGCGUAAAGAGCUCGUAGGUGGUUUGUCGCGUUGUUCGUGAAAACUCACAGCUUAACUGUGGGCGUGCGGGCGAUACGGGCAGACUGGAGUACUGCAGGGGAGACUGGAAUUCCUGGUGUAGCGGUGGAAUGCGCAGAUAUCAGGAGGAACACCGGUGGCGAAGGCGGUUCUCUGGGCAUGUCCUGACGCUGAGGAGCGAAAGUGUGGGGAGCGAACAGG